rnacentral:piRNA from 1 species
UGCCCGGAGAGGAGAAAUGUGGCAGUCU